rnacentral:lncRNA from 1 species
AUGGAACCCAUCCACCAUUACCUGCUCAUGUUGCUUUGGAGGUUAUUUUCUGAAAUCAUUGUCUGGACCUUGGUUUACAACUUCACUCCUGAAGCCAGCGAGACCACGAACCCACCGAGAAGAACAAACAACUCCAGAUGUGCUGCAUGUAAGAGCUGUAACACUCACUGCGAAGGUCUGCAGCUUCAUUCGUGUGAGCCAGACCAUGAACCCACUAGAAGGAAGAAGCUCCAGAUACAUCUGAAUGUCGGAAGGAACAAACUCCGGGUAUACCAUCUUUAAGAACUGUAACACUCACCGCGAGGGUCUGUGGCUUCAUUCUUGAAGUCAACAAGACCAAGAAGCCACGAGUUCCAGACACAUGAUGUUCAAGCAAUUCUUGUGCCUCAGCCUCCCAAGUAGUUGGAAUUACAGGUGUGUGCUACCACACUCUGCCUACUGUUGAUUUAUAAAUGGUCAGUUACAAUGAAAUAAAGAGUAAAAGGCAAGUUCAAUAUUGGAAAUUCGCCCAAUUAAAAUUGGACCAUUUAAUAUGAAUUCAUAUAUGUAUAGGAGUAUUUCAGAAGACUAAAGUACAACAAUGGGGAAUGAAACAGUGCUACUGAGAUGAAGUGAAUCAUUUCAGAUCUGGUUUCAGCUGCCCCUGAGCUCUGUAAGGUUACUCUUUAAGAGAAACUGAAAGACUGAAUACAUAGGGCUUUUAAAACUUCUACUGUCACUGCUUGUGUGGUGUCUUGUUUUUGAAAAAUUGCUGAAAGAUUUAUCAAUGUUUUAUCUUAAUCAUAAACUUUCUGAAAAAUCCUAGAGCUAAGUUUGAGAAACAAAAGUUUCUUGAUAAAAUACAGUACCCUCUUGAUAAAAGAUGAAAAAGAAAGAGGUGUAUAUUUGGGAAGGCUGCAGACCCAUUAGGUUAGUUACUUUUCAGGACAAUGUUAAAGGGAAAAAGGUAGUGCUUUCUCUUUAUCUCUAUUGAAAGCGGUGGGGAAAAAGUACAAACUUCCACCGUCGUUAUAGAGCACCUGUUGUGAAAGUAGUUCUUCCUCUUUCCUCUUCUUUCUUUUCUUUUCUUUUCCUUUCUUUCUUUCUUUCUUUCUUUCUUUCUUUCUUUCUUUCUUUCUUUCUUUCUUUUCUUUCUUUCUUUCUUUCUUUCCUUCUUUCCUUUCUUUCCUUUCUUUCCUUUCUUUCCUUUCUUUCUUUCUUUUUUUGAAACACUGGUAGUAUCUUUCACUUUUGUGCUUUAUUUUGUUAUCUUAAUUAAUUCUCUCUAGUUUAUUCAGGGGCUCGAUUUCUAAUUAAGAGUUGUGAAGAGUUACCCUGGAUAGUCCCCUGAUAAUUCUGAGUAAACUUGGACAUCCUUACCUGCUACCAGGAUGUGUAACUACCUUCACCAUAAUGUGCAAGUCUAGUGAGUUAAAGGCUAUUGUUUUUGUCCCAUGAUGAAUAAAUGUCUUUCCUCAAAGUGCUGAUAAAUAACUCCAAUGUAUAUAAUAAUUUUAUCACAAAGCCCUCACAAACAUGAACGUCAGUAUGUGCUGCACUAAAUUAUGUAUUUAAUUAUCUCACACAUACAUGGCUUUCAUGGCUCACUAUGCCCUGGAAAGCAUGGGUUAGCAAAUUUAUCAAAAAAGAAGAUGAGAAAUAGGGACCUAAAAGUAAAACACAAAGUAGAG